rnacentral:rRNA from 1 species
AUUGAACGCUGGCGGCAUGCCUUACACAUGCAAGUCGAACGGUAACGGGCCUUCGGGUGCCGACGAGUGGCGAACGGGUGAGUAAUGUAUCGGAACGUACCUUUCAGUGGGGGAUAACGUAGCGAAAGUUACGCUAAUACCGCAUAUUCUGUGAGCAGGAAAGCAGGGGAUCGCAAGACCUUGCGCUGAUUGAGCGGCCGAUAUCAGAUUAGCUAGUUGGUGGGGUAAAGGCUCACCAAGGCGACGAUCUGUAGCGGGUCUGAGAGGAUGAUCCGCCACACUGGAACUGAGACACGGUCCAGACUCCUACGGGAGGCAGCAGUGGGGAAUUUUGGACAAUGGGGGCAACCCUGAUCCAGCCAUGCCGCGUGAGUGAAGAAGGCCUUCGGUUGUAAGCUCUUUCGGCCGGGACGAAAUCGUAUGGGUUAAUACCCUGUGCGGAUGACGGUACCGGCAUAAGAAGCACCGGCUAACUACGUGCCAGCAGCCCGCGGUAAAGAGU